rnacentral:rRNA from 1 species
UAGGGAAUCUUCGGCAAUGGACGGAAGUCUGACCGAGCAACGCCGCGUGAGUGAAGAAGGUUUUCGGAUCGUAAAGCUCUGUUGUAAGAGAAGAACGAGUGUGAGAGUGGAAAGUUCACACUGUGACGGUAUCUUACCAGAAAGGGACGGCUAACUACGUGCCAGCAGCCGCGGUAAUACGUAGGUCCCGAGCGUUGUCCGGAUUUAUUGGGCGUAAAGCGAGCGCAGGCGGUUAGAUAAGUCUGAAGUUAAAGGCUGUGGCUUAACCAUAGUAGGCUUUGGAAACUGUUUAACUUGAGUGCAAGAGGGGAGAGUGGAAUUCCAUGUGUAGCGGUGAAAUGCGUAGAUAUAUGGAGGAACACCGGUGGCGAAAGCGGCUCUCUGGCUUGUAACUGACGCUGAGGCUCGAAAGCGUGGGGAGCAAACAGGAUUAGAUACCCUGGUAGANNAAGUCCGCGCUGUAAACGAUGAGUGCUAGGGGGUANACCCUUUCCGGGUUUAGUGCCGUAGCUCACGCAUUAAGCACUCCACCUGGGGAGUACGACCGCAAGGUUG